CUACCCCGGGGGGAAGACUGCCUGCACACCUUCCCUUGCAGUGGAAAUGAGAGCAACCCAAUCCAUCCAAAUGGGACAGGAGAGCUGCUUUGUGACUCACGCUGUGCAGUCUGAAGUGCCGCUUCUUGUUCAGCGCUGCAAGAACAGACGCACAGUGCACGUGUGCCAGCCAUCACACAGAGCCAGGAGUACAACGCUGGCUAAAGCACGCCAGGGAAACACUGCUGCAGGGUAUCUGCGCUCCUACGCCAUCAGCAGACAAUGAACGCCCACAUCAGCAGAACAAAGUGAACACAGCAAACCAAAGCUGAGUCCUCUUCCCUUUAAAACAACUUGGUUAUUUCUGCAGCUCCUGACUCCUAGAAACAAGCCCCUGAAUGUUAAACAUGGAUACCUAGGCAACAGCAGCUGACAAAGAUGCUCAAUGGAAUCCAAGCCUUGCCUUCCCCUGAUCUUUUUUUUAAUGCAUUGGCUUAAGUUACGCUGACUGAGUCCUACAUUCAGAGUGUUCUCUUAUAGAAUACCAAAGGCGUCACCCCGCAUGGACUGCUUAUGAGGGAACUGCUGAGCAACAGGCCUCUGAGACAUGCUUUGGAAGAGCAUCCAUCAAUCCCUGUGCUGCCGAAUUAAACUCCCAGAUGCUCUUAAGAGACUUCCAGAUGCUUCCAGUCAUCUAACUUAGAAACGAUGCAGACAAGGUUACACCUUCCCAGACCUAAAGACGACUAUUCUUUUCCUGUUCUACUCUACCCGUGUUCUAUUCUACUCUUAUUCUCUUAUUCAUUUCUUUUGGCAAAUGAAACCAAUUUAUUCCUUCCUAUGUGAGUCUAUUUUCCUCAUGGGGAACAGAAGGUAGAGUAACCAAGAGGCAACAGGAAAACAGCCCAUGCCUAUAAAUUAGUUUCCAGUGGCUCCUCUGUUCCCCACAGGCCAUAAGCUGACUGUGGGUUAGGAAGAAAUACAGCAAACUGAGAAAUUAAGCAUGGAUAAAACAGAGUUAUCCUCGUGAGCCAAUAAUAUGUCACCAUACAUUAAAAUCCCGAGAAUAUGAAUUCGGACUGGGACUGUGGACGCAAAGUUCAGAGUAUCUGGCAAAUAGUUUACAACGUAAAGUGAUCACCUUUAUUGAAGAACGCCACCGUGCAGACAGGGGAAUUAGGGCAAAUAAACCUCACUGAUUUAUAGGUUACCACAGCAGGCAGCUUGGAAGGAGGAGGCUGGGUUUUAUCCACUUCCCAGAUACUGGGAUAUUUCACUCCGUGAUAAGAAUUACAGGAUAUUUUUGACACACUGAUAGCACUUCCAUUUUAAGAGAGCCCACCCUGGUGUAAUUAACUAGACAGUUAGCAAGGGCUGCUCGCAGCACCACAGGGGAACUAUAGAAAACACCUGUCCUUGGGCUCCGUGGGCUUUUGAAACCAAAACAAGCCACAGACACGAUGCUCCGUACAUUACUUUUAAAAAUCUUUUUAAUGAAGAAAUAAUUCCAUUCCAAAAUAUAGACACACAAUUAAAUAGUUUAAUCACUUCAAAAUAUAACAUGUCCCCAGUAGGUUCCAACACACACACACAAAACAAUACUUAACAGCAAUACAAAAAACCCAUACAAUAGCAGUUCUGUUACAAUACCAAUGAAUAUUGUGACAUCUUUAGUGUCUCCGUAUCUGUCUCAAGUGGUGUCAAGUACAGUAGUUUUAAAAACGUCUUGCAGUUAGUAGCCUCAAGAUGUAACUCAUCGUACAUUUGUUUUUGGUUCAAAGGUAAAAAUGCCCUUUGCCUUCAGGACACAGUGGAGUGCUCGUUGUUCACAGCUCCGUCUGCUGAAUUGAACCAAUGUGAUUACAGCAACCCGAGGUUGCAAUAUUUACAAAGUCUAUCUACAGUAAUUGCCAAGAACCAAUAAAGAUGGGAGAAGAUGACUGAAAGUAAAGGCAGACACACAUGAUAAAUCAUGAUGCAACGAUUUGGCUCAUGCAUAUAAGAAAAUA